CCAGACUCCUACGGGAGGCAGCAGUGGGGAAUCUUCCGCAAUGGACGAAAGUCUGACGGAGCAACGCCGCGUGAGUGAUGACGGCCUUCGGGUUGUAAAGCUCUGUUAAUCGGGACGAAAGGCCUUCUUGCGAAUAGUGAGAAGGAUUGACGGUACCGGAAUAGAAAGCCACGGCUAACUACGUGCCAGCAGCCGCGGUAAUACGUAGGUGGCAAGCGUUGUCCGGAAUUAUUGGGCGUAAAGCGCGCGCAGGCGGAUCAGUCAGUCUGUCUUAAAAGUUCGGGGCUUAACCCCGUGAGGGGAUGGAAACUGCUGAUCUAGAGUAUCGGAGAGGAAAGUGGAAUUCCUAGUGUAGCGGUGAAAUGCGUAGAUAUUAGGAAGAACACCAGUGGCGAAGGCGACUUUCUGGACGAAAACUGACGCUGAGGCGCGAAAGCCAGGGGAGCGAACGGGAUUAGAUACCCCGGUAGUCCUGGCCGUAAACGAUGGGUACUAGGUGUAGGAGGUAUCGACCCCUUCUGUGCCGGAGUUAACGCAAUAAGUACCCCGCCUGGGGAGUACGACCGCAAGGUUGAAACUCAAAGGAAUUGACGGGGGCCCGCACAAG
rnacentral:rRNA from 1 species